GUAAUUGAAUUACCUUACCAAUUACACUGUUAAAUGUGGCUGUAGGUUUUGCAGUACGGUACAGCUCAAUUCUACAGUAUGAUACAAUAUCAUGUCUUUACAGCACAGUCAAAGAUCCUUGAUUACUAGCUCCGCUUGAACCCUCUCUGGCACAGUGUUGUAGUUAAUGUUGCAUUCUGGGUAAUAUUAUUGACGCGGGAGUAUAUUACAGUACAUUUCCCCGCAUACUGUAACUUUGCUGCCACCUUGCUGUAAUAUCGAGAACGAAGUUCUGCCAACCCGACGACUUUACUCCUCUUCUGAAGACAUGACCCAUAGUGGAAUGAGCGCAAGUCAUUGAAAUUUGGUCACUGAAACCGUGGCAGAUGUAGAGGGGCACGAGAGAUUGCCUGACACACCCAGACUCAUUAUGGUUGGACCCUCGCUCAUGACAGCAAAAAGAUGGAUGGUGUCCAUUGAAGGAAGAGUUGCUAUUACAUUCACUGGAUCAGACAGUUUUCCUGCUGCUUUCGCCACUCUUUUUGCAUCGUAUUACGUCUUAAACAUGGAAUACCAAGAGUCAGCUGCAUGCACUUUGGAGCUUGUUCAGAGAUUUCUGGUGAGAAUUAAUCCGGAAGAUGGAAAGAAAUGCACAGCCCGACAGGGAGUGAGCAAGAAGACCGGACGAAUUGUCCAGAAAAAAGCACCACCCAUCAACUCCCACGUUAAUAACUUCAUUCGCUCCUUGCUGGACUUUGAAUGGCAGACCUCUAACUAAGCAGUUACAUCUAACAGGUUUUGUGUGUGUGUGUGUGUGAGAGAGAGAGAGAGAGAGAGAGAGACAGAGAUAGAGAUUAUUAAACAUAAAUGCAAUUUAAAUUUAGACCACAACACUACACUUUCCUUUGUUAAUGUUCCAUUUUGAUAGCCAGCAUUAUUUAAUACCACAACUAUUAUAUCAAGUGUAUAAAGUGUUCAUAUGACAUGGGCAUGCGGCAGAUUGUGAUCUCAAAAUGGACUCCUUUGAGUUACCUCACAACAGACCUGUUCAGCUGGGCAACAUGGGUACAUUGGCCCAGAGCAGUUA